GGAGGUUUGGUUGCAUGGUUUCCUGUGGUAUGAACAUCAGAGACUUCAAGGUCAAGGUAUUUAGUUGUGGCUUUGUGCAAACCUCAGAACUGUUUCCUCCAAGGGCCUGGGGUAUUUGGCAGACACUGUCUCUUGCUGCCUUUGCUGCUGUGUGACAGGUGAUAAAAUAGAAGCCACCUGGAGGCAACUUCCUCUCCCAUCAACAGGCUCCCCAGCCUUCAUGCCUGUCCUUUGGGGUCUCCCUGCGGACAGCGGGAGCCACCUUUCUGUGGUCCCACCUUCCUGGGCCUCUCCUUCAGUCAAGCUGCACAGCAGCAUUUUUGACACUUGGUCUGGUUGCAUCCUCACUAUCCUGCACUAGCAGUUCUUGGUGAGACUCUUCAUGCUGCAGACGGAGGCAUAGGAAGGGCUGGACUGGCUCCCCUUCUUACUGUGGCUAGGCAGGGUAGGGGGUACCUUGGCUUCCAGGAUCUCUUGAAGCGAAACUACUAGGGCUGAGCCACAUCCUCUGGUGCCAUCUGCUGCCCAGAUGGGAACACAGCCCUCUUGCUGCACCGAGAACAUGUGUGUCCUGGAUUCUCCGUCAGCUUUUCUGAAUUAAAACGUGAAAUCAUGGGAGUGCCUUUAAUUAAUGUUGAAUCAGUGAAUGAAAUAAGAUUAUAAUAUUCUACAGUA